UACGUAGGGGGCAAGCGUUGUCCGGAAUCAUUGGGCGUAAAGCGCGCGUAGGCGGCCCGGUAAGUCCGCUGUGAAAGUCCAGGGCUCAACCCUGGAAAGCCGGUGGAUACUGCAGGGCUAGAGUCCGGAAGAGGCGAGUGGAAUUCCUGGUGUAGCGGUGAAAUGCGCAGAUAUCAGGAGGAACACCGAUGGCGAAGGCAGCUCGCUGGGACGGUACUGACGCUGAGGCGCGAAAGCGUGGGGAGCAAACAGG
rnacentral:rRNA from 1 species